AACGAACGCUGGCGGCGUGCCUAACACAUGCAAGUCGAGCGAGAAAGGGGUGGCAACACCCUGAGUAAAGCGGCGCACGGGUGAAUAACACGUGGGUAACCUGCCUCUAAGAUUGGGAUAACUCGUCGAAAGAUGAGCUAAUACCGAAUAAGACCACAGUUCCCGCGGGAACAGGGGUCAAAGGUAGCCUCUGCUUGCAAGCUAUCACUUAGGGAUGGGCCUGCGCACCAUUAGCUAGUUGGUAGGGUAACGGCCUACCAAGGCAAAGAUGGUUAGCUGGUCUGAGAGGAUGAUCAGCCACACUGGAACUGAGACACGGUCCAGACUCCUACGGGAGGCAGCAGUGGGGAAUAUUGCGCAAUGGGCGAAAGCCUGACGCAGCAACGCCGCGUGAGUGAUGAAGGCCUUCGGGUCGUAAAGCUCUGUCGGGAGGAACGAAUGCUCCCGAGGUUAACAGCCUCGGGAGGUGACGGUACCUUCAAAGGAAGCACCGGCUAACUCUGUGCCAGCAGCCGCCGUAAGAC
rnacentral:rRNA from 1 species